UUUCGGUCAUGUCUCCAUGUCUCUACAGACUCAAAGAUCUCAAAUCCAUGAGCUAUUAAUGGAGAGGCUUGAUAGGAAGAACCACUCUGGGAUGGUGAGCUGCAGUUGGGAACCUAUAGGCAAAGUGCUGAUUACGAUGAAUGUGAUUUGGAGAAAUUCUGUUUCCUGUCUAAGGAUAAAAAAGGUGCCACAUAGAUACCAAAGUGGUAAUUACCCAAUGGUCCCUCUGGGAUCAAGGAUUUUAACUGACCCAGCCAAAGUUUUUGAACACAACAUGUGGGAUCACAUGCAAUGGUCUGAAGAAGAAGAAGCAGCAGCUGGGAAAAAAGUAGAGGAAAACUCAGCUGUGCGAGUCCUUCUGGAAGAACAAGUUAAGUAUGAGAAUGAAGCUAGUAAAUAUUGGAACACAUUUUAUAAGAUUCAUAAGAAUAAGUUUUUCAAGGAUCGUAAUUGGCUGUUGAGGGAAUUUCCUGAAAUUAUUCCAGUUGAUCAAAAAACUGAACAGAAGCUGCAGGAAUUAUCAUGGGAUCAUGCAAAAACUAGUGCUGCAGAUGGUUUCUCAAGAAGGCACUGCCCUACUAUGCCUGAAGAAAACAAUCAUAAGAAAAGUUGUGGUUCAUCAGGUAGUCAUAGCAAAGUGGGAUCACAUUUUUCCAACCUGGAAUCUAAGGAAAACAGAAAAGGACCUCUGAAGACAGAAUUGUUUCCUGGUAGCAACGCCACUUUCAGAAUCCUAGAGGUUGGCUGUGGAGCUGGAAAUAGUGUUUUUCCAAUUUUGAACACUUUACAGAAUGUUCCAGAGUCCUUUCUUUACUGUUGUGAUUUUGCUUCUAGAGCUGUGGAGCUAGUAAAGUUGCACUCAUCCUACCGAGCAGCCCAGUGCUAUGCCUUUGUUCAUGACGUCUGUGAUGAGGGCUUACCUUACCCUUUUCCAGAUGGGAUACUGGACGUCAUUCUCCUUGUCUUUGUGCUCUCUUCCAUUCAUCCUGACAGGAUGCAAGGCGUUGUAAACCGAUUGUCCAACUUACUGAAACCUGGAGGAGUGCUAUUAUUUCGGGACUAUGGAAGAUAUGAUAAGACUCAGCUUCGUUUUAAAAGGGGACAUUGCUUAUCUGAAAAUUUUUAUGUUCGAGGAGAUGGUACCAGAGUAUAUUUCUUUACAAAAGGGGAAGUCCACAAUAUGUUCUGCAAGGCUGGGUUAGAUGAGAAGCAAAAUCUGGUUGAUCGUCGUUUACAAGUGAACAGGAAAAAACAAGUGAAAAUGCACCGAGUGUGGGUUCAAGGCAAAUUCCAGAAACCAUUACACUUGAUUCAAAAAACCUCCAAGUUGGGAUUUUCACUCCUUUUUCAAGGCUGAAUCAUGAGGAUUACACUGUACAAAGACUUCUGUAGAUCUUUCAUUUUUGAAAGGACAACCAGAAGAAAAGAGAAUUUGUAUAUCCUGCUGUUUAUCAUGGAUAAGACUGGGGCUCUGAGACUUGCCCAGAUGUCACUGCCAAUCCAUGGCAGAGCCACGGUUUGGACCCAGAAUUGUAUGAUUCCAAAAACUCUAGUCUCAUCAACACACUUUUAAUCGAUAGCUCACAUGCUGCUGGGAAAGCUGCUGGAGAAGAAAAAGAGCUCCUGAAUCAAGCGGAGAAUUAUAGCAAUGGGUAGGAGUUUGGAUGAGACAAUCUACAAGGUGACAGCUCAUUCCAGAUCCAGUGAUUCUAUGAAAUAAGUACGUUGCACUGGUCCACAGUUACAAAAUGGGAAGGAAAAGAAGGAAAGGAACUAAGAGGAAUGACAAAGCAAAAGCUUUCAAUCAGUUCUUUUCAGCAUUCUGCAUAUGUUUACUUCUGCUCCUGCCCCACCCCCUUCUGGCUUCCACUUGGCUCCCCUCCCAGCCGAGCCAGCAAGCCGAGCACCCAUCGCCUGCAUACUCCUCACUAAACAGAGUGGGGGGAGGAGGCAGUCUGAAAAGCCUUAAAAUGUCUUCCAAGGGAUUCAGCUUUAGUAUAAUCUAAAAGAUGGGAAUUCAGGGAUUGUCAGCAACAAAAUAUGAGUGAAAACAUCAUUAUUUUAAAACAUUGUAUGUACGUUAAUGCCACAUUAAUGACAAUUCGAGCAUAAAAUGUUGAGCAUUUCUUGGAAUAUGGUUUGGGAUUCAAGAGGCACAAAGGUACCUGCAAGAUGGCUUUGGUGUUGUUAUAAAUAUAAAUAGAAGUAAAAUAACAGUUGCAUCUUCAUUUAUAAUGAAUCUUAUAUUGUGGCUUCAAAGCUACAGAGGAGAGUGGAUGCCAAAAUCUGUCUUUCAUUAACAUAUGCCUUACAUGACAGGGAAGAGGUGUUGAAGACAAAAUUACUUUUUCUUCUGAGUAUGAAUCAGCAACAUGCGGUAACAAGUAAUAACAGUUCUGUGUAUGAGUGCUUGCGGAGAGUAAGAAAAACAGCCUCAGAAUGAAAAGGCAAGUGCACCUGCUGGAGAGGCCCAGGAGGCUGCAGAGCACCACCACCCCACCCCCAGGCCCCUCCUGCAGUGUCUCCGAGCACAGUGACUCCAACUCUGGCAAGCCACGCUGACACGAGAUGGACAGAGCACAUUAAAACCUACA